ensembl:lncRNA
GCAAACCCACACCUCUGCGAUGAACUGAUCCACUGCAGUCAGAUUCUUAACCCCCUGUGCCAAAGUGGAACUCCAAAAUAUCCUUUUUAUAUACUCUGAAAUCAUUUUUUUAGAUUAGAAUGAUUUCUUUCCUAAAUGUUGGAAAAAUUUGCCAGUAAAACCAUCUAGGCUUGGUUUUCUUUGAAAGAUUCGUAUCCACAGAUCCAAUUUAACUAAUGUUCAUAGGACUAUUCAGGUUAUUUAUUUCUUCUUUCUUUGCUUUUGUUAAGUUAUGUUUUUCUAGAAUUCUAUCCACUUUACCCAAAUUUUAUUUCUAUCUUUUAUUUUUUGUCUUUUUUUUUUUUUAGGGCCAAACCCACCGCAUAUGGAGGGUCCCAGGCUAGGGGUUGAAUUGAAGUUGUAGCCUCUGGCCUACACCACAGCCACAGCAACGCCAGAUCCAAGCCUACAACUGUGACCUACACCAUAGCUCACGGAAACUCUGGAUCCUUAAUCCCCUGAGCGAGGCCAGGGAUUGAACCUGUGUCCUCCUGAUACUAGUCAGGUUCAUUUCUGCUGAGCCACAGAAGGAACUCCCAUCCAAAUUUUUAGAUAUCUUCGCAUAAAAUUAUUUGUAACAUCUGCCUGUAAUCGGCGAACUAUCUAUGGUUAUGUCUUCUGCCCUCAUUCCUAACGCCAGUCAUUUGCGCCUCCUUCUUCCUGAACAAGAUGGCCAGGGGUUUGUCCAUUCUAUCAGCCAUCUUCAAAGAGCCGGCUUUUGGUGUUGUCAACGCCCCACCGUGUGUUUGUUUUAAACUUGGUAUCUGCCUCCCUUUCCCUGUGCUUCUCUCCUUUCUUGCCAUCUUUGAAUGAUCCUGUUCUCACUCAUUCCUGCUGCCCCUUCCCCUUACAAGUUAAGAAGUGAGUGCUCUGUCUCUGGCAUCUCAUCAGUCGUGCCAUCUGCCUGCUUAACUGCCCUCAGUCUGAAGGUAGCUCACCUUGCUCUUAUUAUUCUGUUUUAUUUUAUCUUGUUUGGUAGACAACAUGUGGUGUCUUAGAUAGUCUACUUUUCAGUUUUAGCUGCAAAAGUUGGCUGGCUCCUUUGCUCUUAAUCAUAUACUCUUCAUGUUUUCCAUGGUUUUGUUUUUGCUAGAUUAGAGAUAACUUCUCCAGCUCCAUCUUCCAUUUCACUAGUUCUUCCUUUAACUACAUCAAACUGCAGUUGAAUCUAUCCUUGAUUACUGACUCUUUGUUUUUAAUUUACUUUUUAUCCAUUGAGUUUUAUCUCCAUGUAUUACAGUUUUCAUUUUUAGAAUUUCCGUUUUCAGUUUGGCUUAAUCAUUUUUUAUGGUCACAUGCUCUUUAUUCAUAUGUUAUAUCCCCUUUUUAUUUACUAAAGCAUUUCUAGCUCACUGGAUAUUCUGCCCUGACAGCCCCACAGGAAGAGUGUUUGUGGGUCAUAUUCUGCUGCCUGUGGUGUUUGGGCUCAUUUGUGGUACCUCGUUGCCUGUGUGCUUUGUGAAUUUUUUUACCAUUAUUUUCUGAUUCUUCAACUUUUGCUUGUAGCAGCCCCUUGAGGUGGGGUUGAGCUUGGGUCCCACCAGAGUCUCUGCCAGCCUGGAACCACUUAAGUUGAGAUUCUGGGCCUUGGACCAUGCAGGCGGUGUGAAUUUGGGGUGCCAUGGGCGGUGUGAAUUGGGUGCCAUGGGCGGUGUGAAUUUGGGGUGCCAGAUUUUCUCUUCCACUCAAUGACAAAAUUAAGAGCUGGCAGUCCCCUGGGUAGGAGGUUGGGGUGCUGUUCUGGUUCAUCCUUGUGAGGAGGGUAUGAGCCUGUUUGUGGGUAGGGUCCCCCAGGAGCUUCCACUGAUCCAGCCCCCCUGAACCUCCUCCACCUGGCUCCCCAGGCUCCUGCACGCACUCCAGCUCCAGCCUCUGCGUGUUCACUCCUCACCUGCCAGCUCCCUCAAGUGUCUGAGAAAACACUGUUCCUGUUCUAUUCAGCACUUUUGCUUCCAGUGGGAGUGACGGGCAGGGAACCAAGUCCCCAGAUCUGCCAGAAAUAGAAGCCCUCUGCAAGCUUGUAAGAGCCUGGUGCUGAGGGCUCCCUGCCUGGACUUGGGGUGUGGGUGAGAGAAGGCAGGGGAUAGCCCUGGCUGCCCUCAGCUGACCUCUGCACCAAUGCCCAGGGUGAGGCUCGCAAAGUCAGGAUGCUCCUGGAAGAAAUACUCUUACCCCCGUCAUUGCUGCACAGGUCACAUGGUGCACGCGUGAUGCACAGCCAGCCUUGCUCUAUAGGAAGCAUGACCUGCAGCUGUGCGUUUUUCUGCAUUUGCUGUGGGGAACAGUGCUUUGCCAGUGCUCCCACCUCACAGCACUCAGGUGGCCAGGCCCCGGGUCCCUGCACACCCUCUGCUGGGGUCCUACUUGGCCUGGCCCUAGUCAAUCUGUUCCUGAGACAGCCCAGUGAGUCAUGAAACGGCCCCAUGUCAUUGGCAAGGACACAGAGAGCAAGGGCCUGGCCUCACUGGGCCAAGUCGAGAGGGUGUGAAAGGCACAGACACAAAAUGCAGAGAGUGCAUUCAGCACAGCGGGACACCAGGGAUAAAAAUAAAGGCGUCUCUGCACCCUCUUGCUCCCAGGGCAGUUUCGUGGGCGCUGUUGGCUUCAUCCCUCAUCACCUUCUGCAAGGACACCUCACAUCCCGCCCUGCUGCAGGCUCCCCACGGCCCCCCAGCCUGGGCUGCCUGCAGGUCCAGUCCAAGUUCUUCAUGUCCUGUGUAUCCAAGGUCACUGUGUCCAGGCUGGUGCCAGCUAUUGGCUGUGGCUUUGUGAUUUCGGGACACCUUUCUGCUGCCCCCAGUGGAGCUGGCUGGGUUCAGGAGGUGGCAGGAGAUCCUGGGCUGGCUGGACAGGGCAGGGAGUAUGGGGAAGAGGAUUCUGGGACUCCUCUGGGAUGGACAGUCCAGUGUCCCCUGGCUCUUUUCCCAUGUGGGUGGGAAAUCCAUCCCAUUCCUGACCCAGCACUGCCUGACCUCCAGGGGCACCAGCCAGGCUCCCUGAGCCCUGAGCCGAGGAUCCUCCCACCUUCUCCCAACCCCACUCCCCAACAAGGCCUGACUGUGGCUGGGGGUCCCAGACACUGCUCCCGGACCUCCUUUCCUUCCUUUGGCCUGGCCGGGGCUGGGUUCUGCCCUCUGGCGGUCACCUGCCCUCUGGGGCUGGGAGCAGCAGCCGCCCCUCCUGGCGGACUGUGUAAGGACAAGGGCCUCUGCAUGCUCAGUGGGGUCAGCACGGAGCAGGACCUUCCCUUGGUGUGGGGCACCCAGCAAGAACCCCUCCUGAAGUCCCAACACCCCACAUGGUGCUCUUGGGCUGAGCCCACCUCGUCCACUCCAGGAAUGGGCAGGGUCCUGGCUGGCCAGUGUGCUUGGCCACUAUGAUUGGCUCAGGAUGAGCAUGUGACUCAAUCCUAGCCAAUGAGCAUCUUCCCUGGGACUUUGGCUGGAACUAGGGGGAAAGAGGCUCUCCACUGGGUUGGCCCUGGGGACAUGACCCGGGCUGGCCGAAGCCACAGGGACUGGAGCCAGCAGGAAGUCACCAGAGCCAAGGGGAGGAAGUGCAGAGACGACCCCGGCCCCAGGCUGAGGCACAGCUGUUCCUGGGGAGAGUAUCCCCCACGUGGGUCUAGCCGGUUGGAGCAGGGCCCACUUCGGACGUGAGCGUCCAGGGCUCUCGUGCUCCUGCCUUGACUGGUCAGAACGGUGAUGUGGAGACCACACCUCUGGGUUGGGGGCACCCACCAAACAUUAGCAAGGGCAGAGGCAAGCAGCAUGUAAACUCUCAGAGCAUUCGGCAGUCAGCAACUGUUCUCUUGCCGGAGCAGGUGCCAGAUUUUUUCAAACCACACAACGAAUGCAUAUUUAUUACGGAAAAGUGAGAAAACAGGCAAAAACAAAAAGAUCUUCGCCAGACACCGUUCCAAAGUAACAGCAGUCGGAGCAGUGGUUGCUCUAUGCUUUCCUAGGCGUUCUGUGCAGAAAUUACACCUGUCAGUGUCUACAUAUAAAAAUAGGUCCUAAGCUACACACUGUUUCACGAUCCCACUUUUUUCACCCAGUAUGGAUCACGAAGGUUUUUCCAUGGCAACAAAUAGAUAACGCGGUCAUCAUUUUUUUUUUUUUGCCAUUUCUUGGGCCGCUCUUGCAGCAUAUGGAGGUUCCCGGGCUAGGGGUCUAAUCGGAGCUGUAGCCACCGGCCUACGCCAGAGCCACAGCAACGCAGGAUCCAAGCCGCAUCUGUGACCUACACCACAGCUCACGGCAGCGCCAGAACCUUAACCCACUGAGCAAGGGCAGGGACCGAACCCGCAACCUCAUGGUUCCUAGUCCGAUUCGUUAACCACUGCGCCAGGACGGGAACUCCGCGGUCAUCAUUUUUAAUGGCUAGGUGGUAUUUCACUGUGGAAAUCAAUGCUGUUUUAAAUAAACACUCUGUUGUUACUG